UCUGUCAAUAAGUUUUCCGGUAACACUAACAGUUGUCCCUGUGCUAAAAGAGAACCAAGCUGUAGUGUGGAAGCUGUAUGCUGUAUGGGGAGCUGCUGCUGCACUUGUUCCUGCUUCUCUCUCUUCUUAUCGCCGUCCUGUGUGUUAAGAGGAAGAAAAGAGCAGAAAGAGACAUUCAGCUACUGAGAGAACUUUUCACUUCGUGUUUUAAUCUUCUUAAAGUUCCUAUAAAUCUGUUAAUAAAUAAAAAUUAAAGAGGUUUUCUCUUCAAUUCUCUCAGUGUGUUCCAACGCCUGGAGAUGACACAUACACAGCGCUGAACCUCAUGACUGUGUCCCCAGAAUAUGACACACUGCAAAAUAUUAAAAGCUCUGCCAGUGACACUUACACCACCCUGAACCCUGCACCCAUGUGCUCUGAUUAUGAUACACUGAGGAAAUGAAACAACCUGCAACCACAGUCUCUGGGAGUAAGUGUGUACUCUAUAAGUGUGUGUUUGUGCAAAAGGAUGUUUGUUUAAGGACUGAAGUUGCAAAAAGAAUUUCUGUCUCAUGUAAAAGUCAUUCAUUUGUGUCCGUUCACUCGGUUCUGUAAUGUUGACUAAAAUUGUUGUUAAUGUCUUUGUAUUUAGUUAUUUAAACAUUUUAAAACUUUGAUGUCAUUUGUUAUUUUUAUGUCUUGUAAACUAGAACAAAAUGAUGAUAAAGUAAGGAAUACACACCUCCCUGUACAGAAAUUCUAUUUUGCCUGAUGUGUUACUGUCCAGUGUUUAAAAUGUUUCUAUGUACAAGAAUAAAAUUGAGCUUAUGGGCGUUU